rnacentral:rRNA from 1 species
UACAGAGGGUGCAAGCGUUGUUCGGAAUUAUUGGCGUAAAGCGCGUGUAGGCGGUCUUGCAAGUUGGGUGUGAAAGCCCUCGGCUUAACCGAGGAAGUGCGCCCAAAACUACAAAACUUGAGUACCGGAGAGGGUGGCGGAAUUCCCGGUGUAGAGGUGAAAUUCGUAGAUAUCGGGAGGAACACCAGUGGCGAAGGCGGCCGACCCUCGG